AACUAUUUAGUUUAUAAAAAUAAAUGUUUUGAAAACAUUAGUUAAGAAAAUUAUUCUUAAUAGUUA
rnacentral:tRNA from 1 species